CCCCACACUGCAUGUGCAUGUUUUGGUCAAUAAAAGGAAAUUAGAUCCCUUUAAUAAAAGGUAACAUAACACCCAACACACACAAACAUAACUAACCAGAGCUUAUUUUUUCAACAAACUGUAAAAGUUAGGCAAAAUGGGGAAUUUCUAAAACUCAGCUAGAAUUGGUUCACUAAGCACAGAUUUGCGGUGAAUUCAAAAGUCGAACAGCAAAAACUUAACAGUUGGAAAAGGUGCCAAAAUGUUAG